rnacentral:misc_RNA from 1 species
AAAUUCUCAACCCCAUCAGUUGUCUGGUGUGGCUUGGAUUUGGGAGCGUUUUUUGCAGGUUUUGUCCUGCUCUCCUGAAAAAUAUUAGCGGAAUCUAGAGCAGAGACCACUGGAGGGUGUGAUAACCAUCUAUACCCUCGGUAUGCUGUGAUUGAAUCUGCUUUCUAAUCUUUUGGAUUGAAAA